GUGGGGAAUCUUGCACAAUGGGCGAAAGCCUGAUGCAGCGACGCCGCGUGCGGGACGAAGGCCUUCGGGUUGUAAACCGCUUUCAGCAGGGACGAGGCCGCAAGGUGACGGUACCUGCAGAAGAAGCCCCGGCUAACUACGUGCCAGCAGCCGCGGUAAUACGUAGGGGGCGAGCGUUAUCCGGAUUCAUUGGGCGUAAAGCGCGCGUAGGCGGCCUGCUAGGUCGGGACUCAAAUCCGGGGGCUCAACCCCCGCCCGGUCCCGAUACCGACAGGCUUGAGUCUGGUAGGGGAAGGCGGAAUUCCAAGUGUAGCGGUGGAAUGCGCAGAUAUUUGGAAGAACACCGGUGGCGAAGGCGGCCUUCUGGGCCACGACUGACGCUGAGGCGCGAAAGCUAGGGGAGCGAACAGGAUUAGAAACCCUAGUAGUCCC
rnacentral:rRNA from 1 species